CCUACGGGUGGCAGCAGUGAGGAAUAUUGGUCAAUGGGCGCGAGCCUGAACCAGCCAAGUAGCGUGAAGGAUGACUGCCCUACGGGUUGUAAACUUCUUUUAUAAAGGAAUAAAGUGAGGCACGUGUGCCUUUUUGUAUGUACUUUAUGAAUAAGGAUCGGCUAACUCCGUGCCAGCAGCCGCGGUAAUACGGAGGAUCCGAGCGUUAUCCGGAUUUAUUGGGUUUAAAGGGAGCGUAGGUGGGUUGUUAAGUCAGGUGUGAAAGUUUGCGGCUCAACCGUAAAAUUGCAAUUGAUACUGGCGGUCUUGAGGACAGGUGAGGUAGGCGGAAUGCGUGGUGUAGCGGUGAAAUGCUUAGAUAUCACGAAGAACUCCGAUUGCGAAGGCAGCUUACUAACCUGCCACUGACAUUGAUGCUCGAAAGUGUGGGUAUCAAACAGGAUUAGAUACCCGAGUAGUC
rnacentral:rRNA from 1 species